CAUUGCAUCAAACUUAACUCCUAAACUAAAAACUCAAUUCAUGAGCAUUUUAGAAGAACAAAUAGGAGAAAUUCUCAACAAACAAAGAUCUAGAAAUUAUCUUACUAUAAUUAAAAAUGGGGAUGUAAAAUAUUUUUGAAGAUUGAUAAUAAAAUAUUAAAAUUUAUCAAAGGCCAUCUUCUUGAGAUUGGCAAUCCAAAACUAUUGAAAUUUGUCAAUCCAAUAUUCGACACGGG
rnacentral:lncRNA from 1 species